GAUGAACGCUGGCGGCGUGCCUAAUACAUGCAAGUCGAGCGAACAGAUAAGGAGCUUGCUCCUUUGACGUUAGCGGCGGACGGGUGAGUAACACGUGGGUAACCUACCUAUAAGACUGGGAUAACUUCGGGAAACCGGAGCUAAUACCGGAUAACAUUUGGAACCGCAUGGUUCUAAAGUGAAAGAUGGUUUUGCUAUCACUUAUAGAUGGACCCGCGUCGUAUUAGCUAGUUGGUAAGGUAACGGCUUACCAAGGCGACGAUACGUAGCUGACCUGAGAGGGUGAUCGGCCACACUGGAACUGAGACACGGUCCAGACUCCUACGGGAGGCAGCAGUAGGGAAUCUUGCGCAAUAGGCGAAAGCCUGACGGAGCAACACCGCGUGAGUGAUGAAGGGUUUCGGCUCGUAAAACUCUGUUAUUAGGGAAGAACAAAUGUGUAAGUAACUGUGCACGUCUUGACGGUACCUAAUCAGAAAGCCACGGCUAACUACGUG
rnacentral:rRNA from 1 species